rnacentral:lncRNA from 1 species
AACUCUUGGAAGUAGCGAGUAAGUGGCACUGGCUAAUUUUUCCCGGUAACAAGGACACAAAAGAAAAAAUUAAAAAUUAAACUCACCUAACUGGGUAUUUCAGAAUUAUUUUAACCUACUUUUUUGUUGUUGUGGUUCGAUCCUUUGUUUAUAUUCUUUGGUUACACUAUGGCCAUUUCGAGUUCAGCAACUCUUCAGAUGUACAAAAACAUUUUGCGCUAAUAUCAUGAACUCUGAAGAUGACUUUUUGUACACCUGAAGAUGAGUCGCUGAACUCAAAAUGGCCAAAGUGUAACCAAAGAAAAACAACAAAAAAGUAAGUCAAAAUAAUCAUGACAUCCGACAAAGUGAAUAACUCCCCAAUUAUUUCAUAAUUGAUAGCCCCAGCAGCCAGAACCUCUCUAAGAUUAAUCCCUCGAAAAUUUUCAGGAAUCAUGAUUUCCCUGAACCAUCCUUGUAACCCCUCUUGCUGUUUCUUGCACGCCACAUCCAGAGAACUAGCAUGUUUUGAACACUAAAUCUCAAAGCUGAAUAAAAGGGCUUGAAGGACAAGGCGCCUAAGUGCGGUUGUUGAAAAAAUUGAGGUAUCAAUGAUUUCAAGUCAAACUUUUCUGAAUAUACAUUCUGUGAAAAAUUUGCUCUCAAAUUCCAAUUUUUAAGCAUCAGAAAGUCAGUUUGAGCUUCCUUUCUGCUAGAAGGAUCCAUGUACUUACCUAAUUUCGAAACUUCAAAUACAUGUUUCUUGAAAAAGCAGAAACUGCACUUAGGCGCUUUGUUCUUCAAGCCCCUCAAUUUGCCCUUAAUGUAAAGAAAGGCUAUCGGCUAGGAAUAUGUCUAUUUUGAAAGUCACCGAUAAAAUGUGCUCUCAUUUUUCAGCUUAUUGCCGGUUCCAGAGCUGCAUACCCGCAACUAGUCAGCAGUAUACUGUGCCAGACCUCACCAGAGGUCAACUCUUCAAGUCGAGUCAACUCACAAGUCAACACAGUCAGCCUGACUGUGCGAGUUUAGGAAA